rnacentral:rRNA from 1 species
GACGAACGCUGGCGGCGUGCCUAAUACAUGCAAGUAGGACGCAGUUGCGAACGGGUGAGUAACGCGUAGGUAACUACAUAUUAGAGGGGGAUAACUAUUGGAAACGAUAGCUAAUACCGCCUACUAGUAGAUGGACCUGCGUUGUAUUAGCUAGUAGGUAGGGUAAUGGCCUACCUAGGCAACGAUACAUAGCCGGGCCGGGGGGGUGAUCCGCCCCAACUGGACCGGGGAACGGCCCCGACGCCUACGGGAGGCAGGCGUAGGGAAUUGUCGGAAAUGGGGGGAAACCCGAAUGAGGACCGGCGCGUUAGUGAAGAAAGUCUUCGGGUCGGAAAGCUCUGUUGGUCAGGAAGCGGUACUUACCCAGAAAGGGACGGCUAACUACGUGCCAGCAGCCGCGGUAAUAC